GCUUGCUUUGGCCACAUAUAUACUAAAAUUGGAAUGAUAACAGAGAAGAUUAGCAUGGCCCCUGUGCAAGGAUGACAUGUAAAUUUUUGCAGAGUACAGUGAGGGAUGCCGCUUUUUU
rfam:Canis lupus familiaris chromosome 4, whole genome shotgun sequence.